rnacentral:siRNA from 1 species
CUCGUUCAGGUCGCCGCUUGUCGA